CCCCCUUUCCGCACUGUCUUCCUUCCAGAUCCUGCGCGUUUUGCUUGGGUUAGCAUGCUGUUGGGGAGAGGGACGUUUGCGAGUUCUUGGCGACGCCCAGGCCAAGGGCUUUUGUGUUUCUCUGUAUCUACGCAGCGAGUGGAAAAAGCCAAGGAAGGUAUUUGAGGAGUUGUCAGGAGCUGAUGGAACCCAUGCAGGCCUUGGCCACUUGGCCAGCUGCCCCAGCUGCCCUGCCUUCUCUGCUAGCUCUGUCCCUUGACCGUUGGUUCCUUCCCUCUCCCCUGGCCCGGUCUGCUUGGCUGCUGGAGGCACACGCCAGCCCCACUGGGCACAGGCCCUGUGAACCCCAGCCAAGACACCCUGGGGCUGCAGGAGGGACAGGAAGGCCGGCUCACUAGAAAAGCCUUCUGGUGUCGCAACUAAAUGGCCAAGGUCUUAGGGCUGCCUUCUGCGGGGGACAGAAAAUUUAUGACGAUGGCCAUUUGGGGCACAUCACCCAGCCCAGAAAUGCAGCCUGGGGUUUUCAGAGGCUUUUUCUCCUCACACCUGGAAGCAUCUGUGGGGGUGUUAACCACAGUCGAUCACACCGCAGUUCCGAUAAGGCGGACUGGCCUACCCUGGAAGCAGGGACUGCUGCAGAGGGGGCCGAGGCCUGUAGCUUCUUUGCCAAAAAUUUCACUGCGAUGAAAGACAAAGAAAAGCCGAGGAAGCGUUUUGGAUGAAAGGAGAGCAGAGAUGUGCCAUCUAAGUGCGAUGCCUGAUUCUGGACGGACCCUGACCCGGGGACAUUUCCUGUAAGGGACAUUUGGGGGACAACUGGUGAGAUUCUCAUAUGGCUUGUAUAUUAGAUAUUUUUGUAUCACUGUUACGUUUUCUGAAUUCAAUAAAUGAACUUUGGUUGUAUGAAGGAAUGUGUAAGAGAAUAUCUGUGUUCUUGGGAAAUGUGUGCUUGUCUUUAGGGGGUUAAGGGGCUGUGUUCUCUGCAACCAAUUCUCCAAUGUUUCAGGAGAAACUGC